UUAUGGGUCAAAGAAAAGAUUAAACUGUACGGUGUAACCAGGUAAAUCAACUUUAACCUUCGACCUCCAGAGCGCUGAAAGGUCAGUUCCCCAGACCGCCAUUUUGUUUCAUCGGAGAAUGACGGGGGCAUAUUCCUUCGUGUCCAGUUUGGCCGUUUUUAUUACACUUCUACGCAUUAGCAGUCACUCAGUACCAUAAACCGAAAUGGACGAAAGAAACAGCGAGGUUGGUAUGGACGAUCACCAAGCUUAUCACACUAGUGACGAAACAAGCAGCAG